rnacentral:tRNA from 1 species
GCCGAAGUGGCGAAAUUGGCAGACGCGCCAGCUUGAGGUGCUGGUUCUCGCAAGGGAGUGCAGGUUCAAGUCCUGUCUUCGGCA